AUUAAUAAUAAUGAUGCAAUCAAUGAGUCGUUAACAUUGCAAGUACACCGCAUCAAAGAAAUCUCAUCGUUGUAAUAACACAACUGUCCCCAAGGCGUCGCUGUUUACUGUCACUAGGAAUGCUCUGUAGCAACACGAGCUGGAAUAUCCAAAAAUAAUCUUUUUGUUUAGUAUAGGCUGUAAAAAUAUGUAUAAAAUAGACAUUAUGUUAAUCAAAGCGGAUCCACACCUGUUGGUGGGUCAUUACGGGAUGAUAAAGGUGGCUUAUGUUCACGCAAACAAAUGCCAGCGGUCAUGACAGACAGUCGUUCACCCUCCCUCGUGCACCCGCAGACGCGCACACACACACGCGCGCGCGCGCUCAGUGUAAAGGGUACCAAUUCACCAUGCUGCUUGCUGCUGGAUGCUGCUAGACCGAGACGCAUCCAUCUCACCGUCGGCUUUGACUGGAUUUCAAUAUUUUAUUCACAGGUCCACAUGGCUUCAUCGGAUGGACUAGAGAAGUGCGUUCUGCACAGAGGCAGAUCUCAAAGUGACCCGAACAUCCUCAGCGAGUCCGGCAUUGAUCUCUCGCACAGCGCAGAUGUGAUGGAGCAGCAGCAGGUUCUGCGCUCCAGCUGUCUGGUGAGUGGAGUUCACACUCCUCCCAUCCGUCGCCACAGUAAGCUGGCCACGCUGGGGCGCAUCUUCAGGCCGUGGAAAUGGAGGAAAAAGAAAAACGAGAAGCUGAAGCAAAGCUCUACAGAUGUGGCCCUGGCCUCUGGACUUCACUCUCCAGAUAUAAGCUCUCCCAUCCAGGGCAUCUCAGAUGCAGAGAUCCGGCUGCCGGGCUCUCAGGGGCCCAUUCUCAGCAUCAGUAGCAUGGAGUACCUCAGCUCAGAGCAAGACAAUCUCCCCACCAAUUUUGCACUGGACAACGACACAACAGAAGAAACAAAUUCGAACGAGGACGACGAGGACGAGGAGGUGGUUUCUGUAAACGAGAAUGAAGGCGUUGAGGAGGAUGCAGAGGACGGAGAAGAAGAUGAAGAAGAUGAACCACAGGAACAGUCUCCUCAUGACAGUCAUGCGUCCCAACUCAGCGCUGAGGAAGACGCGGAUAAAGUCGCCAACGCAGCUGUGCCUCAGUCAAACUGUUUUCUCCCGAAAGAACCGCCCAGGGUCAAUGACGGCCCCAGUCCCGUGGUUUUACGGGGGCCUUUUAGCAAUCAUGCGGGUUCGCCGCAUAUAGGCAGCAUACACCCACCGCUGCCCCCUAGCUGUAUAAUAGAGGAACUGCACCGUGCCCUGGCAUCAAAGCUAAGACAAGAAAGCAUUGAGCGGGAGCCAUGUGGAGACUGUGAGAACAGGAAGGAGGCCGAGGAAAACAAGGAGAAUGUUAGACAGGACCACUUCUCCACCGAUGCUUCGGGAAUCAUUUGUGACAUCGACAGCUGGAAUGAGUCUGUCAUUUCUGGCACAUUGCCAAGGAGAAUGAGGAAGGAGCUGCUGUCUGUGAAGCUUCGAAAUCGUCCCAGCAAACAGGAGCUGGAGGACAGGAACAUUUUUCCAACACGUAGUGACCAGGAGAGACAGGAGAUCCGGCAACAGAUAGAAAUGAAACUCGCUAAGAGACUCAGUCAACGGCCGGCCGUUGAAGAGCUCGAAAGCAGAAAUAUCUUAAAACAGAGGAAUGAUCAGACAGAACAGGAGGAGAGGAGAGAGAUCAAACAGAGGCUUAACAGAAAGCUCAACCAGAGGCCAACAGUCGAUGAACUAAGGGAACGAAAGAUUCUCAUCCGCUUCAGUGACUAUGUGGAGGUUGCCAAAGCCCAGGAUUAUGACAGGAGAGCUGACAAACCCUGGACAAGACUGUCUGCAGCUGACAAGGUAUGUGAUACAAUGCUGAUGUCAGCAUAUUUUUGCUAAGCUUUACGAUGGUCAACUCAGCUAAACAAGGACCAAAAGAGGUGAAACGUGUUGGUGAAGCAAAUCUAGCGUCAAUAGUUCAAAUGCUUUUUAUAUUAGAAUAUUUGUUCAUUUUACAGGCAGCUAUCGCAAAGAGCUCAACGAGUUCAAAAGCACCGAGAUGGAGGUUCAUGUUUCGAGCAAGCACCUAACAAGGUUUCACAGGCCUUGAGAGGGUUUUCUUCCGUGAAGAAAAUACUGAAAACGUCGUCUAUGUUUAAAGCCUGGACAUGCCUCUUCCAGAGACGUGGCGUCGGCCGUGGGAUUCUCUUAUUCUUCCAGCGCCCUGGGCCGAAUGUGGGUGUGCUUAAUGCCGGCGGCUGCGUCUCCACCACGAUCGGCGGCAGGGAGAACCUGAGGAUAAUCUGCGGCAAUAUAAACAUGAAGCUGUCAGAGUGAAGAAACUGAGGAAUUUAGUUUUUUAUGUUUUUAAACUGGACUGCAUUUCAGUGAUUGCGAAGAAUUCGUUUUGGGUAAAUGUUUGUGUACUUGUAACCGGCUCCGCUCUGAAAAACCUAAAAAACUAAGAAAAAGUAAAAAAAAUACAGUAAAAAGAAAACCAUGGGGGUUGAUGAGCCUCCUAUAAAUGACUUUCAUAUUAACUGUACAAAGUCCUACUGAACAGGGUUGUUCAUGUCAUCACUUGAAAAAAAAUCUUUGUAAGCACUUGUCUUGAAAAUAUACAACUUUUUGGAAAAAAAAUGUCCUGUUAUGUUUUUACUAUGCAAAAAGCUUACAUAACUUGUGUUAAAUUAGCAUUUAUUUGUUGCUGGCUAC